AAUCAACGCUGGCGGCGUGCCUAACACAUGCAAGUCGAACGCGAGAGCCCCGCAAGGGGCAAGUAGAGUGGCAAACGGGUGAGUAACACGUGGGUGACCUGCCUUCGAGCGGGGGAUAACGUCCGAAGGGACGCUAAUACCGCAUAACAUCCUGCCUUUGAAGAGGUGGAGAUCAAAGCUGGGGAUCGCAAGACCCGGCACUUGAAGAGGGGCCCGCGCCUGAUUAGCUAGUUGGUGGGGUAAUGGCCUACCAAGGCAACGAUCAGUAUCCGGCCUGAGAGGGCGGACGGACACACUGGGACUGAGACACGGGCCCAGACUCCUACGGGAGGCAGCAGUGGGAAUUGUUCGCAAUGGGCGCAAGCCUGACGACGCAACGCCGCGUGGAGGAUGAAG
rnacentral:rRNA from 1 species